AUGGGUUAUUGUGGGACAAUAACCUCAGAACAUUCUGAUGAGGAAUAUUUUGACAGUUUUGGUCUAGGGAACAACAGCCGGGCCACAGCUACAGCCCAUGGCCAGGUGGUCAAGCCUGCCAAGAGCUGUCCAUCUAUUGCUACAAUCUUGGGCAACCCAAGGGUGCAAACCCCUCUGUUCACCAAAACCAGGCGAUCAAAGGGGCAUCCCUUAGGCAUCAGCUGCAAAAACCAGGCACCAGAUGCCUGUAAAGCUUCCCCCAAAGAGACUGACACUUUGGAGCAUGACAAAGGAAGCGGCGGGGGAGAUGGCGGACGGGAAGGUGGGAGAGGAGAAGGCUGAGAAACCAUAGUGAGCUGGAGCCGCCGGAGUAAUGGAGGAGAAAGUUCCAGUCGCAGCGCUGAGAAGUGAUCAGCUGAAGAAGAAGCUGCAGACCUCCCAACAAAGCCUACAAAGAUCUCCAAGUUUGGAUUUGCCAUAGGUAGACGACAAAGAAAGCCUCAGCCAUAUCCAUCAAACUUGGAUCAAGUAAGCCUAAAGAAACUGUUCCAACGCUUGCUCCGAAAACCCUUUCAGUAGCAGCAGCUUUUAAUGAAGAUGAAGAUAGUGAGCCAGAGGAGAUGCCUCCAGAAGCAAAGAGGAGGAUGAAGAAUAUUGGAAGGGAUACACCAACAUCAGCAGGACCAAACUCCUUCAGUAAAGGAAAGCAUGGUUUUUCUGAUAACCAGAAGCUAUGGGAGCGAAAUAUAAAAUCUCAUCUUGGAAAUGUCCAUGACCAAGACAAUUAAAUGAUGUGUUUUGAAAUUGGGGUGUGGGGUGAGUGUAAAGUUUAAAGGAACAGUUUCCUUUUUUAAAGAAUGGUAUAAGACUAUCUUUGGAGCUGCCUUUUUUUUUUUUUUUUUAAGAUUGAGUGGUACACUAAUAAAUGAGAGUUUGAAAUUAAAA